rnacentral:rRNA from 1 species
GAUGAACGCUAGCGGCAGGCCUAACACAUGCAAGUCGAGGGGUAACAUAGGAAAGCUUGCUUUUCUGAUGACGACCGGCGCACGGGUGCGUAACGCGUAUACAACCUACCUUUUAGCGGGGAAUAGCCCAGGGAAACUUGGAUUAAUGCCCCAUAGUAUAUAGACUUCUCCUGAAGUUUAUAUUAAACAUUUAUGGCUAUUAGAUGGGUAUGCGUCCUAUUAGUUAGUUGGUAAGGUAACGGCUUACCAAGGCAGCGAUAGGUAGGGGUCCUGAGAGGGAGAUCCCCACACUGGUACUGAGACACGGACCAGACUCCUACGGGAGGCAGCAGUGAGGAAUAUUGGACAAUGGGCGAGAGCCUGAUCCAGCCAUGCCGCGUGCAGGAAGACUGCCCUAUGGGUUGUAAACUGUCUUUUACAGAGGAAGAACCACCCCACGUGUGGGGGUUUGACGGUACUCUGCGAAUAAGGAUCGGCUAACUCCGUG